rnacentral:rRNA from 1 species
AUUGAACGCUGGCGGCAGGCCUAACACAUGCAAGUCGAGCGGAUAAAGGGAGCUUGCUCCUGGAUUCAGCGGCGGACGGGUGAGUAAUGCCUAGGAAUCUGCCUGGUAGUGGGGGAUAACGUCCGGAAACGGGCGCUAAUACCGCAUACGUCCUGAGGGAGAAAGUGGGGGAUCUUCGGACCUCACGCUAUCAGAUGAGCCUAGCUCGGAUUAGCUAGUUGGUGGGGUAAAGGCCUACCAAGGCGACGAUCCGUAACUGGUCUGAGAGGAUGAUCAGUCACACUGGAACUGAGACACGGUCCAGACUCCUACGGGAGGCAGCAGUGGGGAAUAUUGGACAAUGGGCGAAAGCCUGAUCCAGCCAUGCCGCGUGUGUGAAGAAGGUCUUCGGAUUGUAAAGCACUUUAAGUUGGGAGGAAGGGCAGUAAGUUAAUACCUUGCUGUUUUGACGUUACCAACAGAAUAAGCACCGGCUAACUUCGUG